rnacentral:rRNA from 1 species
AUUGAACGCUGGCGGCGUGCUUAACACAUGCAAGUCGUGCGGUAACAGGCGUAGCAAUACGUGCUGACGAGCGGCGAACGGGUGCGUAAUACAUGGGAAUCUGCCCUUUAGUGGGGAAUAACCCGGCGAAAGCCGGGCUAAUGCCGCAUAAGAUCUUCGGAUGAAAGCGGGGGAUCGUAAGACCUCGCGCUGAUGGAUGAGCCCAUGUCGGAUUAGCUAGNGGUGAGGUAACGGCUCACCAAGGCGACGAUCCGUAGCUGGUCUGAGAGGACGGCCAGCCACACUGGGACUGAGACACGGCCCAGACUCCUACGGGAGGCAGCAGUAAGGAAUAUUGCGCAAUGGGCGAAAGCCUGACGCAGCGACGCCG